rnacentral:lncRNA from 1 species
GAAGCGGAACACGAACCUAUUUCCGCUAUUCCGGGUUCUUAUUGAGCGUAGCGAAAUCAAGGUUGAUGAUAAAGUCAGCGAAGUUUCCAUGGUGUUCUACCUUUGCGUAGUCUCGGUCCACAGUGGAAGGCUCCGCACCUGAGCCUCGUUAGACUCAGCUGAAGUGUAAGGUGUAAGUGAAGAAAAUAGAAGAGAUGAAGUCCGUCCCUUAGCCUAGUCUAUAUCCACAGCUGACGCAACUCCGUACCGACGCCUCACUACUACUUUCAUUUUUCUUUUAUUUUUAAAUUAAUUAACGGCUAAGCGAUUUCAUAACCUGAGCUUUCC